GCGGAUCUCUGGGCCAUUACUGACGCUGAGGAGCGAAAGCGUGGGGGAGCGAACAGGAUUAGAUACCCUGGUAGUCCACGCCGUAAACGUUGGGAACUAGGUGUUGGGCGACAUUCCACGUCGUCGGUGCCGGCAGCUAACGCAUUAAGUCCCCGCCCGGGGGAGUACGGGCCGCAAGGCUAAAACUCAAAGGAAUUGACGGGGGGCCCGCACAAGCAGCGGAGCAUGUGGCUUAAUUCGA
rnacentral:rRNA from 1 species